rnacentral:tRNA from 1 species
UUCAUUGAAGAAGACGAUGAGAAGCAGCUUUUGCUUUGCACACCCGAUUUUGGGUCUGUAGCUCAGUUGGUUAGAGCGCACCCCUGAUAAGGGUGAGGUCGGCAGUUCGAAUCUGCCCAGACCCACCAGUUACCUGGUGAAGUUGGUCAGAGCGCGUACGACACCCGGAUACGGGGCCAUAGCUCAGCUGGGAGAGCGCCUGCCUUGCACGCAGGAGGUCAGCGGUUCGAUCCCGCUUGGCUCCACCACUUACUGCUUCUGUUUGAAAGCUUAGAAAUGAGCAUUCCAUCCUGAUUGAAGGGUGCGUGAAUGUUGAUUUCUAGUCUUUGAUUAGAUCGUUCUUUAAAAAUUUGGGUAUGUGAUAGAAAGAAAUAUAGACCGGGCACCUCUUUCACUGGUGCGUGUCCGGGCUAAGGUAAAGUUUGUGAAAUGCAAACUUUCGGCGA